UGGUAAGAUAUGGUGAGAUAACAUUAUUAU
rnacentral:piRNA from 1 species